AUGCAAGUCGAACGGAAAUCAGGCGCUUCGGAGACUUCGGUCAAUGUUGCCUGGUUUAGUGCGGACGGGUGAGUAACGCGUGGAUAACCUGCCUCAUACAGGGGGAUAACAGUUAGAAAUGACUGCUAAUACCGCAUAAGCGCACGGGACCGCAUGAUCCUGUGUGAAAAAACUCCGGUGGUAUGAGAUGGAUCCGCGUCUGAUUAGCUAGUUGCGGGGUAACAGCCCACCAAGGCGACGAUCAGUAGCCGGCCUGAGAGGGUGAACGGCCACAUUGGGACUGAGACACGGCCCAAACUCCUACGGGAGGCAGCAGUGGGGGAUAUUGCACAAUGGGGGAAACCCUGAUGCAGCCGACGCCGCGUGAGUGAAGAAGUAUUUCGGUAUGUAAAGCUCUAUCAGCAGGGAAGAUAAUGACGGUACCUGACUAAGAAGCACCGGCUAAAUACGUGCCAGCCGCGGC
rnacentral:rRNA from 1 species